rnacentral:lncRNA from 1 species
GGGAAGGUAGUUAUGGAUACAUGAGGAUGAAGGAAAAAUUCAUUUGAUCUGAUCGGAUGGUUAGGAUGCAUCUGAAAAUUUUUCUAUUCUAAUAGUAACAUAACAUACCCAAUAUGCAGUGGAUAAGGAUCAAAUCUCCAAAGGUUGGCUUGAUUUGAUACUUCACGAGGUCUGAACAUACAGACCCUCUACUUCACGCAUACAUCAGACUCUAUAGGAAAGAGGGAUGAGGUCCUGUAUAUCAAUCUUUAAAAGGAA